UGGACAUUCUGAAGUACGAUCUAUCAUUUAUUUAAUAUUUGUACACUUUUUUUUUUUUUAACAAAAUAUUUCAUGACUUGGGUACAGUCUGCUUUACAUCCAUUUUAUUUUCCAGAGAUGCGUUUAGACAUCUAGACUCCCUGGAAGGGUGGACUGAGCGAAAUCUGCAGCAAUGGCACAAAAAUGAUGGAAGAAACUGUGGUGUUUUCGUAUGCACAGUGAGUUAACUGUAUUAUGUUGAUGUUGUUAAUAUAUUCUCUAAUAUAAUACGUUUGAUGAAUAUAAAAUGUUAAAUAAUUUUUGGAGUAGAUGGCAGAGAUGGAAGCUAAAAGUAUUAAAAUGUGCCAGGAAAUUCUGCACACUGAACAGAUGGGAUACCUUCGUCUUUACCAUGCCUCAUGCCUGGUGAAACAUCUGCAACCAGAGGACUUUCCACCCGAAGUCAAAAUUGUCCAAAGUGCAACACAGACCAGCUGUAUGGCCCAGGAUGUAGGAGUUUGCAUUUAUCAAAAGUAUCGAUCAAAAGUAAUGCACCCAGAAAUCCAUUCACUGGACUGGAUUCAAUGUGACCUUUGCAAAAAAUGGCUGCAUUCUGACUGCGCUGGUAUCAGCCUUGAAAUGAUCACAGAGGAAACAUCAUUCAGCUGUGGAUGUGACACUAACCAUGUCCAUACCUU